AUUGAACGCUGGCGGCAGGCCUAACACAUGCAAGUCGAGCGGCAGCGACAUAAACAAUCCUUCGGGUGCGUUUAUGGGCGGCGAGCGGCGGACGGGUGAGUAAUGCCUGGGAAUAUGCCCUGAUGUGGGGGAUAACCAUUGGAAACGAUGGCUAAUACCGCAUAAUCUCUUCGGAGCAAAGAGGGGGACCUUCGGGCCUCUCGCGUCAGGAUUAGCCCAGGUGAGAUUAGCUAGUUGGUGAGGUAAGAGCUCACCAAGGCGACGAUCUCUAGCUGGUCUGAGAGGAUGAUCAGCCACACUGGAACUGAGACACGGUCCAGACUCCUACGGGAGCAGCAGUGGGGAAUAUUGCACAAUGGGGGAAACCCUGAUGCAGCCAUGCCGCGUGUGUGAAGAAGGCCUUCGGGUUGUAAAGCACUUUCAGUUGUGAGGAAGGCAUUAUCGUUAAUAGCGGUAGUGUUUGACG
rnacentral:rRNA from 1 species